rnacentral:misc_RNA from 1 species
GAAAUGCGAUACUUGGUGUGAAUUGCAGAAUCCCGUGAACCACGAGGCGGGUGCUCGCGGGAGGUCAGCAUACACCCCGCGCAGCAACAUUGUUACAUGUUUGCGUUGGGGAAACGAUGUGUGACACCCAGGCAGGCGUGCCCUCGGCCUAAUGGCUUCGGGCGCAACUUGCGUUCAAAGACUCGAUGGUUCACGGG